AACGAACGCUGGCGGCAGGCUUAACACAUGCAAGUCGAACGGGUGCAGCAAUGCAUCAGUGGCAGACGGGUGAGUAACACGUGGGAACCUUCCUAGGGGUACGGAACAACUCAGGGAAACUUGAGCUAAUACCGUAUACGUCCGUGAGGAGAAAGAUUUAUCGCCCUUAGACGGGCCCGCGUCGGAUUAGCUAGUUGGUGGGGUAACGGCCUACCAAGGCGACGAUCCGUAGCUGAUCUUAGAGGAUGAUCAGCCACACUGGGACUGAGACACGGCCCAGACUCCUACGGGAGGCAGCAGUGGGGAAUCUUGGACAAUGGGCGCAAGCCUGAUCCAGCCAUGCCGCGUGAGUGAAGAAGGUCUUCGGAUUGUAAAGCUCUUUUGCCAGGGACGAUAAUGACGGUACUUGAGGAGGAAGCCCCGGCUAACUACGUGCCAGCCGCCGCCGUAA
rnacentral:rRNA from 1 species